GAUCAUGGCUCAGGAUGAACGCUAGCUACAGGCUUAACAAAUGCAAGUCGAGGGGCAUCAGGAAGAAAGCUUGCUUUCUUUGCUGGCGACCGGCGCACGGGUGAGUAACACGUAUCCAACCUGCCCUUUACUCGGGGGUAGCCUUUCGAAAGAAAGAUUAAUACCCGAUGGCAUAAUGAUUCCGCAUGGUUUCAUUAUUAAAGGAUUCCGGUAAAGGAUGGGGAUGCGUUCCAUUAGGUUGUUGGUGAGGUAACCGG
rnacentral:rRNA from 1 species